rfam:Myotis lucifugus cont2.13860, whole genome shotgun sequence.
GGCAGUUCUAGGGUGACACACCCAGGAAUUGGGCUCCCUCCUCUCUGGUUCCGGGUACAUCACCCAAGAACCACA